rnacentral:rRNA from 1 species
GAGGUUGGCUUAGAAGCAGCCAUCCUUUAAAGAAAGCGUAAUAGCUCACUGGUCGAGUCGGUCUGCGCGGAAGAUGUAACGGGGCUAAACUAUGCACCGAAGCUGCGGAUUCAAACUUUGUUUGAGUGGUAGGGGAGCGUUCUGUAAGCCGUUGAAGGUGAACCGGGAGGUUUGCUGGAGGUAUCAGAAGUGCGAAUGCUGACAUGAGUAACGAUAAUGCGGGUGAAAAACCCGCACGCCGGAAGACCAAGGGUUCCUAUCCCAUGUUAAUCAGGGUAGGGUAAGUCGACCCCUAAGGCGAGGCCGAAAGGCGUAGUCGAUGGGAAACGGGUUAAUAUUCCCGUACUUGGUAUAAUUGCGAUGGGGGGACGGAGCAGGCUAAACAAGCAUGGCGUUGGUUGUCCAUGUGAAAGUGAGUAGGUUGGUGACUUAGGAAAAUCCGGGUUGCUAAGACUGAGACACGAGACGAGCCACUAAGGUGGUGAAGUUGUUGAUGCCAUACUUCCAGGAAAAGCCUCUAAGCUUCAGAUUAUACCGAAUCGUACCCCAAACCGACACAGGUGGUCAGGUAGAGAAUACUAAGGCGCUUGAGAGAACUCGGGUGAAGGAACUAGGCAAAAUCGUACCGUAACUUCGGGAGAAGGUACGCUCCUAUCUGUGAUGAGACUUGCUCUCUAAGCGGACGGGAGCCGCAGUGACCAGGUGGCUGGGACUGUUUAUUAAAAACACAGCACUGUGCAAAAUCGCAAGAUGACGUAUACGGUGUGACACCUGCCCGGUGCCGGAAGGUUAAUUGAUGGGGUUAGUUUUCGGACGAAGCUCUUGAUCGAAGCCCCGGUAAACGGCGGCCGUAACUAUAACGGUCCUAAGGUAGCGAAAUUCCUUGUCGGGUAAGUUCCGACCUGCACGAAUGGUGUAACCAUGGCCACGCUGUCUCCACCCGAGACUCAGUGAAAUUGAAAUCGCAGUGAAGAUGCUGUGUACCCGCGGCUAGACGGAAAGACCCCGUGAACCUUUACUACAGCUUGGCACUGAACAUUGACCCUACAUGUGUAGGAUAGGUGGGAGGCUUUGAAGCAGAAACGCUAGUUUUUGUGGAGCCGUCCUUGAAAUACCACCCUUGUAGUGUUGAUGUUCUAACGUUGGUCCCUAAUCGGGAUUACGGACAGUGCCUGGUGGGUAGUUUGACUGGGGCGGUCUCCUCCCAAAGAGUAACGGAGGAGCACGAAGGUUGGCUAAGUACGGUCGGACAUCGUACGGUUAGUGUAAUGGUAGAAGCCAGCUUAACUGCGAGACAGACACGUCGAGCAGGUACGAAAGUAGGUCAUAGUGAUCCGGUGGUUCUGAAUGGAAGGGCCAUCGCUCAACGGAUAAAAGGUACUCCGGGGAUAACAGGCUGAUACCGCCCAAGAGUUCAUAUCGACGGCGGUGUUUGGCACCUCGAUGUCGGCUCAUCACAUCCUGGGGCUGAAGUCGGUCCCAAGGGUAUGGCUGUUCGCCAUUUAAAGUGGUACGCGAGCUGGGUUUAGAACGUCGUGAGACAGUUCGGUCCCUAUCUGCCGUGGGCGUUUGAGAAUUGAGAGGGGUUGCUCCUAGUACGAGAGGACCGGAGUGAACGAACCGC